CCCAGUAACGGCGAGUGAAGCGGCAACAGCUCAAAUUUGAAAUCUGGCUCUCGGGCCCGAGUUGUAAUUUGUAGAGGAUGCUUUUGGUGAGGUGCCUUCCGAGUUCCCUGGAACGGGACGCCAUAGAGGGUGAGAGCCCCGUCUGGUUGGACACCGAUCCUCUGUAAAGCUCCUUCGACGAGUCGAGUAGUUUGGGAAUGCUGCUCUAAAUGGGAGGUAUAUGUCUUCUAAAGCUAAAUACCGGCCAGAGACCGAUAGCGCACAAGUAGAGUGAUCGAAAGAUGAAAAGAACUUUGAAAAGAGAGUUAAACAGUACGUGAAAUUGUUGAAAGGGAAGCGCUUGUGACCAGACUUGGGCUUGGUUGAUCAUCCGGGGUUCUCCCCGGUGCACUCUUCCGGCCCAGGCCAGCAUCAGUUCGCCCUGGGGGACAAAGGCUUCGGGAAUGUGGCUCUCUCCGGGGAGUGUUAUAGCCCGUUGCGUAAUACCCUGUGGCGGACUGAGGUUCGCGCAUUCGCAAGGAUGCUGGCGUAAUGGUCAUCAGUGACCCGUCUUGAAACACGGACCAAGGAGUCGUCUUCGUAUGCGAGUGUUCGGGUGUCAAACCCCUACGCGAAAUGAAAGUGAACGCAGGUGAGAGCUUCGGCGCAUCAUCGACCGAUCCUGAUGUUAUCGGAUGGAUUUGAGUAAGAGCAUACGGGGCCGGACCCGAAAGAAGGUGAACUAUGCCUGUGUAGGGUGAAGCCAGAGGAAACUCUGGUGGAGGCUCGCAGCGGUUCUGACGUGCAAAUCGAUCGUCAAACAUGGGCAUGGGGGCGAAAGACUAAUCGAACCUUCUAGUAGCUGGUUUCCGCCGAAGUUUCCCUCAGGAUAGCAGUGUUGAACUCAGUUUUAUGAGGUAAAGCGAAUGAUUAGGGACUCGGGGGCGCUAUUUAGCCUUCAUCCAUUCUCAAACUUUAAAUAUGUAAGAAGCCCU
rnacentral:rRNA from 1 species